UUCUCCUACUGUGGCAGAUUUCAAGCUAUCAACGUGAUGUCACUGAACAGAGUUGGGACUAGAUGUGCGUGAGCUAGAAAGAGCCUGCUCCAGCACACCACUGGGGGGACCAGGUGAAAGGAACAGCAUGUGCAAAGGCAUGGUGGUCUGAAAACGUUUGGUGAUUGCGGGGUUCUUGCCCUGCAGAGUGAGACUGGGGCUGGAAGUCGGAAGGAAUGGAGCAGAGUGCUUGGUCUGCACCAGUUUGUUUCUGCAGCUGCAGCGCCCCUGCCGCUCAGGAAGCUGAGCCAGAUUUCCUUGGCACUAAGUGUUGGACCUGAACUCCACAUCUACCCUGGAGACGCACACUUUCUCAGGCCUCCGAGCCUAAGCAACACUUCUGGCCACCUGCCCCAGAACGGAGGCGACGGGUACAUGUCAGCUGACUGGCUGGGACAGCAUUAGCCAGUUCCUUCAGCUCUCGUACCACCAGCAGGUGGGGAUAGCAGCAGCAACAGCAGCAGCAGGAGAGCAGGGAGGUGAGCUGAGCAAGGGUGGAAGAGUCCACUGCAGCUUCUCACUCCCCCUCCGUCUAACCUCGGAGCCAAGAAAGCAAGUCUGCUCACUUCUUCCCAAACAUGCUCGUAUGAAUGCCAGCCCACGUCUCCAGCAACACUGGAAUGCUGUGGUUAACAGUGUGGGCCCAAGCCUGACCGCCCAGUUCAAACCUUGCUUUAUCACCUGCCAGCAUGGUGACCUCAGUAGGCCUACCAGAUUUAGCAAAACUGAAUAAAUGCAAACAGGACACCUACUUAAAUUCAUCAGAUAAAUGAUGAAAAGUUGCAAAUUAAUUUGUAUACUUGCUUUAUGACGGUCUCCCCAGCAGCAUGUAAGCUACACAAGUAGAAUCCCCAUCUGUGACAGACUAGACGGCAAGCAGGAACCCUCCUGCCAGUCCAUAGGCGGGAGGGUGAGAAUGUGACCCAAAUCAGCCGACUGGAUGCUCACAUCAGGACUCUGGCAUCUCGAAGGACUGACACAAGAGUUCAGGGGCAUUAGCUGAUGUGGCGGCAGCAGGGCUGGGAGUACUUUGGACAGUGAAAAGGUUGUGGUCCCCACAGCAACAACUCAGACUGUUCCUGCGGUGUGACCUGGGCAUGGUUUUCCCAGCUCUCAUGUCUGUUUUCUGAACCUGAUUCCCAGCUUUCCCGUAGGUUCUGUGAACACAAUAUCCUUCCAGUACAUUCCAAUAAAUAAGUUAUAAAGAGUCUGUUUCUGUAGUAGACACUGUGAUGAGCUCUCCACAUUCUCUCUCAAGUCUGAUGGAU